UACGUAGGGUGCAGGCGUUAAUCGGAAUUACUGGGCGUAAAGGGUGCGCAGGCGGUCUUUUAAGUCAGAUGUGAAAUCCCCGGGCUUAACCUGGGAACUGCGUUUGAAACUGGAAGGCUAGAGUGUGGCAGAGGGGGGUGGAAUUCCACGUGUAGCAGUGAAAUGCGUAGAUAUGUGGAGGAACACCGAUGGCGAAGGCGGCCCCCUGGGCUAACACUGACGCUCAUGCACGAAAGCGUGGGGAGCAAACAGG
rnacentral:rRNA from 1 species